rnacentral:lncRNA from 1 species
AAAUGAAUCUUAAACCUUUAAAAAAUACUCCUCUUAGGUUUUAGGUUUUUUCCCGUAUAGGUGAGCAGAGCCAAAAACUACCUCAAAAGGCAGCUUCAAAUACUUUUUCUUUGUUUUUUUUCUUAUGUUUGUUGAAUUUUUAGUUUUUUUUAAUCUUAAUCCAACUCAUUCUUCACUGGAUUUUGAAUUAGUUUUUCUUCCCAUGUGAUCUCUGAAGCAUUUUCAAAAGUAGUCAGUUGUUCAUUAUCUCUAAAUAUUUCUAGAUGUAAUAUGAAAUCAAUCUUGAAUCAGAGAUGGGCCUGAAUGUUAAGUAUUUAUCCUCAUUUAAACAAGUGAAUUUAGACCAGAAUUCAUUAAUGGAUUGUGAAUGGCUUCUUUUGUAGAUCUGGACAGAUCCUCAAAGGAUGCCUUUUUAUGUCUUAGCCAACAAAGGAAAAUAAAGAACUCAUGGGUUAGAUUAUCUGGAAGCAGAUGUCGAAACAGACUUUGAGGACAUCUCUUCUACAGGAGACUCCAGGGCUUCAUCUGAUUAGUUUUGGAACAUUUGAAGAGAUAAUGACUAAAUAAAAAUUUCAGCAUAGUGUCACAGACAUGUGCUGGGAAUCUCCUGC